CUGCUGUGUCCAAAUUCUGGUUCAGUCCUGAACGUAGUCAUCAGUGGCAGCAUCGCUCACACCCCGAGGACCUCAGAAAAGACUCCCACUAUGCAGGUCGUGUUGAGGUCAUUGGAACAGAGAGAGGACGCUCCACUCUGAGAAUCAGAGACCUGACAGAGAGUGAUUCAGCCGAGUAUCACUUUAAAUUCAAAACACAAAGCUUUGAAUGGAAGAGUAGUUUACCUGGAACAACUCUGACUGUCACAGCUCUGCAGGUGAAGGUGAGCAGAAUAAUAUCAGUCCAGCAGACUCAGACUGAGGCAGAGCUGAAGUGUCAAAGCAGCUGCAGUCCUGCUGGUCGUCUUUCUUACGUCUGGUUGAAGAACGGACAGAAAAACACGACACUGCAAACUUCUGCUUAUACAGACUACUUUAAUCCUGGAGACAACAUCUCCUGUGCUUUCUCUGGAUACGAGGAUUACCGCUCUCCAUCAUUGUAUCCGUCAAAGCUUCCCUCUGUGUCAGUGAGUCCCUCUGGUGAGAUAGUGGAGGGCAGUUCAGUCACUCUGACCUGUCGUACACAUGCUAGUCCAGCAGCUAAUAAUACUUUGUACAAAGG